rnacentral:rRNA from 1 species
UACGGAGGGUGCGAGCGUUGUCCGGAAUCACUGGGCGUAAAGGGCGCGUAGGCGGUCCAGUAAGCGUGCGGUGAAAGCCCGGGGCUCAACCCCGGGUCGGCCGUGCGAACUGCGGGACUCGAGCCCACUAGAGGCAGGCGGAAUUCCGGGAGUAGCGGUGGAAUGCGUAGAGAUCCGGAAGAACACCGGUGGCGAAGGCGGCCUGCUGGGGUGGAGCUGACGCUGAGGCGCGACAGCGUGGGGAGCAAACAGG